rnacentral:rRNA from 1 species
CAGUAGCCGCGGUAAUACGUAGGGUGCGAGCGUUAAUCGGAAUUACUGGGCGUAAAGCGUGCGCAGGCGGUUUUGUAAGACAGGCGUGAAAUCCCCGGGCUCAACCUGGGAAUGGCGCUUGCGACUGCAAAGCUAGAGUGCGGCAGAGGGGGAUGGAAUUCCGCGUGUAGCAGAGAAAUGCGUAGAUAUGCGGAGGAACACCGAUGGCGAAGGCAAUCCCCUGGGCCUGCACUGACGCUCAUGCACGAAAGCGUGGGGAGCAAACAGGAUUAGAUACCCCCGUAGUCCCUGUCUCUUAUAC